GCUGACGUCACGGCCCCGCGCGCCCGUCCCCAUGGCAACCGCCACUUCCGGCCCCGCCCCGCCGCUCCGCCAACAGCUUCCUCCCGCGCUCCUCACGUGACCGGAAGCGGAAGCGCCAUGGAGCCCCCGGGAGCGGCGGCGGGGCUCGCCCCCAAGCGCCGCGGCCCGGGCCCGGCCCCUCCGCGGAUGGCGGAGCCGCGGCCGCUCUUCGACGACACCAGCGGCGGGGCCGCCCCCCCCCCCCCACGGCCCGGCCCGGGCCUACGGGGCCCCCCCGGCGGCCCCCCCGGCGUCCUCCGCAUCCCGCCUGCCCCCCCCCGCCGCCGCCUUCCUGGCCGAGCCCGUGUCCAGCCUGGCCGCCGCCUACGGCAGCAGCUUGGCCAGCCAGGGCCGGGACAUCGUGGACCGGAACGUCUGCCCCCUUCCAACUCAGGAUAUUGUAUGAUUCCAAGUGUGGAACCCAGCAUUUGGCCUUGAAUGCCACGCAGCUGGAUGCGGCCCGUUGAUCCAGCCUGUCCAGAUCCCCUUGCCCAGCUUGGUGUCGCCCACGAACUUACAGCGCCCGGUGGGGCCCAUCCAGCCCAGGCACGUGUCACAUGGGACCCUUGGUGACCUCCCUUGGUGACACCCCAGGGGUCCGCCUUAUAUGACUGCAGCUGUGGCUCGGACCCUCAGCGUCGGUGCACGGCAGUGACGGACAGGGCAGGAGCACUGGGCCUUCGAGGAGUCCCCGAGCAUAGCCCACGCCUGCCCGAAGGAGCCUCCGUUUUCUAUUUGAGAACUCUCCCACUCCAGAGGCUCCUUCUGAAUCUGAUGAGGAGGGAGGCAUGCCCCCCAGGCAGCCCAGGCUGGCCUGGCAGGAGACCUGGUCUUCUGAGGGCAGCAACCGGCCAGCAGAGGACAGCUUGCUGGCAGAGGACAGCACCCCGGUAGAGGACAUUUUGCCGGCAGAGGACAGAAGCCCAGCAGAGGACAGCUUGCUGUCAAAGGGCAGCAGCCCGGUAGAGGACAGCAGCCUGGCAGAGGACAGGAGACCAGCAGAGGACAGCUUAGUGGUAGAGAACAGAGGUUUGACAGAGGACAGCAAGAAGGAGUUGCAGUUGCUGGAUCCCAGUGAGUCGUGAGUCCUCUCUGUACCCCUCCCUGCCACUGUAGGGGUGGACAAAAACACCACCUGAACUCCCACUCCAUCCACUACCCGUCCCAGUCCCCUAAAGUCCCGCUUGAUAGUCUUCAGGCUUCUAUCUUCAGUAUUAUCACUGCCGGCCUGGACUAUCAAAAGACGAUAGUAAUCAGAGGGGAAAACCAGGUUGGGAAGCUUUCUGGCAACGUCCAUGACCCUAGCCCCAGGGAGGCAGCAGACUUCCCUACGGGUAGGGUCAGGCUAACAAAUAGGGCCCUCUGUUCCCCUCACAAGGAAGUUGCCUUCUCAGGGGAACAGAGGGAACUUCUCAGGGUCCUUGGUGGCCUCCAAGUUAGCUCAGCGUCAUGGCACCGAGUCACUGUGAAGGAGCUGCUGGAAUAACGAGACAACAACCUAGUUCUAUUAAAAUAUAUAUUGCUCUUUUGAGGACUGCUGCGGGGCUAGCGGCAACACGGCAGUGGAAAUCUCCGUCCUGACAUUGCCUUAUGCCUUGACAUCAGGAUCAGGAUGGUUUGAAAUGCCAGGGAACGGACCAUGGGUUCCGGGUCUUUAUAUGAAGGCUGGAGGACUGCAAAAGAAAGAAGAGCAGAGAUGAAAACCCACUCCUUGCAGAGAUCCCCAGGCAUCCCCUGCAGAGCAUGCCAGCCCCACUCGACUCUUCCCCAGGCCAGGAGGAGCAGGAGGGACAAAGGAAUCCGUUGAAAGCUGCUGCUCAGCAAUGUCCCAAAUGCAGCCACCAGUCCUUCCCCACCUGCGCACCACAGGUCAAGUGGGGCACCUUCACAAGCUGGUUCCCUCACCACCUGCCUCCAUCCCUUGGGAGGAUUCACACACUCCAGGAAUCUCCUGGACUCUUUCCUCUCGCUAUUGUGCUUCCCCAUGAGAGCAAGGGCUAGCGAUCGUGACCCUGCUCCUAGCUGCUUGUAGGCUGUCUCAUCUCCCUCUUCGUCCUGGUUGCGUGCUCUACAACAGGCUCCCACCUUCUGUCAGCCUUA